AUGCUCACUUCAGCAGCACAUAUACUAAAAUUGGAACAAAUACAGAGAAGAUUAGCAUGGCCCCUGCACAAGGA
rnacentral:snRNA from 1 species